GUAGGUGGCAAGCGUUGUCCGGAAUUAUUGGGCGUAAAGCGCGCGCAGGCGGUUCUUUAAGUCUGGUGUGAAAGCCCACGGCUCAGCCGUGGAGGGUCAUUGGAAACUGGAGAACUUGAGUACAGAAGAGGAAAGCGGAAUUCCACGUGUAGCGGUGAAAUGCGUAGAGAUGUGGAGGAACACCAGUGGCGAAGGCGGCUUUCUGGUCUGUAACUGACGCUGAGGCGCGAAAGCGUGGGGAGCAAACAGGAUUAGAUACCCUGGUAGUCCACGCCGUAAACGAUGAGUGCUAAGUGUUAGGGGGUUUUCCGCCCCCCUUAGUGCUGCAGCUAACGCAUUAAGCACUCCGCCUGGGAGUACGGCCGCAAGGCUG
rnacentral:rRNA from 1 species